CAGCCGCCACGGGAAUACGAAGGGUGCAAGCGUUACUCGGAAUUACUGGGCGUAAAGCGUGCGUAGGUGGUGGUUUAAGUCCGUUGUGAAAGUCCUGGGCUCAACCUGGGAAUUGCAGUGGAUACUGGGUCACUAGAGUGUGGUAGAGGAUAGUGGAAUUUCCGGUGUAGCAGUGAAAUGCGUAGAGAUCGGAAGGAACAUCUGUGGCGAAGGCGACUAUCUGGGCCAACACUGACACUGAGGCACGAAAGCGUGGGGAGCAAACAGGAUUAGAUACCUCCGUAGUCCCUGUCUCUUAUAC
rnacentral:rRNA from 1 species